UUGUGUGAAAGGGUCAGAAUAUUGUGCAUCUGAUAAUGAACUCGAUUUUUACGGAUUACUGCAGGAGAUUUUUGAACUCCAAUAUGCUGGUCAUUUUGGACUCAAAGUGAUGAUGUUCAGGUGUGAUUGGUUUGAUCCGACACCAAAUCGAGGGAUCAGAGUCAACAAAACAGGUGUUUUUGACAUAUGUCACACGUCGAUAUGGAAAAUAUGAUCCUUUUAUAUUUCCUUCUCAAGCAGAUCAAGUGUGUUACAUCCCUUAAUCCGAAGAAAAUUACAAGAAGGUCAGACAUUGAUUGGCGAGCUGUCGUGAAAAUCAACCCCAAGGGAACUAUUAUUCAGGCAGAAAAUGCUGAACAAGUACCGCUUCAAGAUGUUGAUCACGACAUUAUUUAAUUUGAAGAAACGAUUGAGGUUGGAAGGUUAAUAGCCGAAGAAGGAAUACCUGAAGAACUUGAAGACAAUAAUGAUGAAGAGAAGGACAAUACCGAUGACUCGGAUGAAAAAACAACAGGAAGUUCUGAAUAUGGUUCAUUUGAUUAAUAAUCUGUCGGUGAUUAGUCGUAACUAGACGGCAUCGUCACUUGCCACGUGUCACGACCGCAAACCAUGCAGUGUUUUCGAUAUUUUCAACAUUGCGACAGAUUUACGUAAAUUCUGUCGUCAAAUCCACGCAUAUCCCGCUUUUUGGCGUAACGACGGUUGGCGACCGAAUUCAUCUAUCGCAAUGCUCUUAAAAUCCCGCCUUUUUUUCGUACCGACGGAUUGCGACAGAUUUAAUCGGUCGCAAUGCUCUUAACAUUAUCGCGAAUCGUCUUCUUCCCCUCUCUCCAAAAACUUAGACAAAUUUUCGUUUCGUCGCCUCCUCCGCCGCAACCUUCGUCCGCCGUGACUGAACUCCGUUCCCAGGUAUGUUUCUUCGUAUUUUCGCUAGUUUCAUUCGCUUUUCGAAAAUCAGACGGUUGAUAAUCCGAAAAUCGAACGCGCGAGAUACAGUUUCCGAUCUCUCGCGCCGCCACUGCACCGGCACUGCUCCGAUCUCUUGCGCCGCCACGGCACCGCGACCGAACUAAUCCGAGAUGAGUCAAUCCCAUUCUAGUUGUCGUGCCGGUAGCGGAGUCCGAUCCCGAUUACGUGGGAUCAGAUAAUCUAGAUCACCAUCUAUCCAUCAGGAUCAGGUUGUAGUCGAGCCUCCUCGACUAGAUGUACCUUUCACGGGUGCGGCUUCGCCACAAUUCAUGAAUGAAGGUACAUCUAGUCACGGUGCAUCGCCAACGUUGCCGGAGAUUCUAGCAUCUGCAGAACGUCGUCUCCGACCUCGUCUCGAUCCGAAUCACUCCCCCGGUUUUAUUUGGUUUGAUCGUAACAAUGAAGUGAUUACGAUCGUCGUCAGCAUCUUUCAGUCGAACUUCAAAGGACCGUGGCGGAGUCUCAUCCGUGUCCCUCCAUCUGAUCUGCAUCGUUGGUUCGGGGCUUUUGCGCAAGCUUAUUAUUGGGAUGAGGCCAUUCAUGACCAAGUCUACGCCGCUUGGAGGCUCGUCGUCCGAGAUCGCCUCAAGGACAACAUUUAUCGGGUAAAGUGCAGAUGCGUAAGACCUCCGUGGAUGUCGACGGCUAUCUACGAUCAGCUCGUCGCACAUUGGGAUUCAGAAGAAGGAACGGAGAAGAGUCAAAUCUUCUCAAACAAUCGACGAUCCCGACCGGAGAUCGAAUGCGCACCCCGACCCACACUGCAGGACAGAGAUCAUUCGCUCGAGUCGCCUAUGAGAUAACGCAGAAGGAAGGUGAAGAACCUUCUGCGUUGCGAUUGCUGCAGGAGACUCACCAUCGAGCUGACGGUACUUAUAUCAACGAUCGCGUUCAGAAAAUCGAGGACGCGAUUCAGGCAAAGAUCACCAAUCGUCUCUCCCAGUUAGAGGAGAGUUAUGGAUCGACCCAACUUAAUUUCGCCAGCAGAAAUCAACAGUCUCUAUCUAGAGGUUGUACAACCGGAUGCCAAAGGAUGUAUCUACGGCGUCGGUGGAAUGGCGACUCAGUUGGGUGGUGGUCAUCCAGAUGCAGCAUCGAUCGGUCGCCAUGUCGCACUGACUAAAGAGGUCGAGGCGUUGAAGAAAAAUAUCAAAGAGUUCGAGGAGGAUCGUAGAAAAAUUGCGAGACUAGAAGAAGGUGAGGCACGGAUUGCGCGUUACGAGACGCUUUUCGCCCAGCUUUUUUCUCCUCAUGAUGAUCCACCAACGGCGCAGGAGAUGCAACAUAACCCAUUUCUGACUCCUCAAUCCGGAGUUAGAUCUGAGCCCGGAGUCGGACCUUCUACGGCACCGACGGACCAAAGAACCGGAUCAGAUCAUCCGGAUAACU